rnacentral:rRNA from 1 species
UUCCAGACUCCUACGGGAGGCAGCAGUGGGGAAUAUUGCACAAUGGGGGGAACCCUGAUGCAGCGACGCCGCGUGGGUGAAGAAGCGCCUCGGCGCGUAAAGCCCUGUCAGCAGGGAAGAAAAUGACGGUACCUGAAGAAGAAGCCCCGGCUAACUACGUGCCAGCAGCCGCGGUAAUACGUAGGGGGCAAGCGUUAUCCGGAUUUACUGGGUGUAAAGGGGGCGCAGACGGCGAUGCAAGCCAGGAGUGAAAGGCAGGGGCAUAACCCCUGGACUGCACUGGGAACUGUCAGGCUGGAGUGCCGGAGGGGUAAGCGGAAUUCCUGGUGUAGCGGUGAAAUGCGUAGAUAUCAGGAGGAACACCGGCGGCGAAGGCGGCUUACUGGACGGCAACUGACGUUGAGGCCCGAAAGCGUGGGGAGCGAACAGGAUUAGAUACCCGUGUAA